GCCAGCAUGGCAUAGUGGUUGGAGCAUUGGAUUAGGACUCUGGAGACCAGGGUUUAAAUCCCUGCUUGGCC